AUGAUAAAACAUUUCCAGUAUGCAUGCCCUCUCUGUUCAAAAUCAGUCUGUGAUAUGUCGAAGGUUUGGGAGAAAUUGGACAUGGGGAUUCCUGCUCGUGCCAUUAGAAAUGUAGAAGAUGGAGAGCCAUGGGACUUGACUGUUUUUGAUACCAUAGUUGUGGAAGUAUCUGGAAUUGCUAAUGAUGCUAUAGAAUUGAUUGGAAAAACUCAGUCAUUGUAA
rnacentral:lncRNA from 1 species